GUUUGAACUAUGUGUGCACAAACAUACGACAUGGGAAAUUCUUCAGUGAUUAUUAUUAAUGGAAAUGUUGCCAGCCUGCCUGAGUAGGGGACACACAGCCAUUCACAUGCAUGGUUAAGAAGGUUUCAAAACCUUCAUUUGUGCUGCCAAAGUUUCAGUCUUCAAGGAUGCUGAGAACACAGCAACCCCUCCCUUUCUCCCUGUAGUCCCCUCCCAACUGGAAAAUGUAGAUCCCAGUGGUGCAAGACAGCCACAGAACUUCCAGACCAAAGAGAGGAUACACUUUGGAAGCAACGUUCUGGA